GGUGCUAUAGUGUAGUGGUUAUCACUCGGGAUUUUGAACCUGACUUUCCCGAAACCCAGGUUCGAACCCUGGUAGCACCU